rnacentral:rRNA from 1 species
UAGGGAAUCUUCCGCAAUGGGCGAAAGCCUGACGGAGCAACGCCGCGUGAGUGAUGAAGGUCUUCGGAUCGUAAAACUCUGUUAUUAGGGAAGAACAAAUGUGUAAGUAACUAUGCACGUCUUGACGGUACCUAAUCAGAAAGCCACGGCUAACUACGUGCCAGCAGCCGCGGUAAUACGUAGGUGGCAAGCGUUAUCCGGAAUUAUUGGGCGUAAAGCGCGCGUAGGCGGUUUUUUAAGUCUGAUGUGAAAGCCCACGGCUCAACCGUGGAGGGUCAUUGGAAACUGGAAAACUUGAGUGCAGAAGAGGAAAGUGGAAUUCCAUGUGUAGCGGUGAAAUGCGCAGAGAUAUGGAGGAACACCAGUGGCGAAGGCGACUUUCUGUCUGUAACUGACGCUGAUGUGCGAAAGCGUGGGGAUCAAACAGG